UACACACACAAAAUUGUUGCAGGAAAAGAUUCUCCACGCUUGAAUAACAAAUGUAUCACAUCAAACAGGUGCUGUAUACGGUAUCAACGCUGCAAUCAAAGUCAAUCAUUGGACACUGGACUCUUCACAGUAGGAGCUCCACAUAAAGAGGAUGAAGGCCCAGAUCCUCCUGAACAGCUUAAAGCCAUCAGACUCAGACUCAGGUUAAGAGCAAAACUUCUUAACAUUAUUUCCUUAGGUCCAUAGUAUUACAUGCUUCAUUUAUCUUUGAUGCAUGGUUCAACACUGAAUGAUGGAACAACCUAAUGUAUUGCUUGACAUUUUGCUAAAACUUUUCUGUAGGCAGUUUAGUUUUUAGUUUAGUUUGUUGGUUCAUGUUUUUAUUGUGUAAUAGGAUCACGCUGAGGUCAGUCUAUGGGAAGUAUAUGGGUAUAAACUCAGAUGGGGUUGUGAUUGGCUGAUCAGAUGCCAUCGGCUCCAGAGAGCAGUGGGAGCCAGUGUUUCAGGAUGGUAAAAUUGCUCUGCUUGCUGCAAACAGUUGUUUUAUCUCAUACAGUGAGAGCGGAGACAUUGUGGCCAAAAUCAAAACAGCUGGAGAGGAGGAGAUGAUCAAGAUCCGUUCAUGUGCAGAAAAAGAGGAGAAGAGAAAAGAUGAUAUUGCAGAUGAAGACAGAGGUGAUGUGAAGAAUUGUGAGAUCAACUAUGUGAGAGACAACAGGUACUGCAAGUGAAACCUGAAGAAUCCUUGUAAAUGAUUUUACUUUGUUGUGAAAUCCCUGCUAUUUUUUAUAAUAAACCUAUUCACUUUUCACGUUUUGUUUUUAAAGUAGAGAGUUGCCAUCAUUUGUUUAAUAUUGGACUGUACAUUUAUUCAUUUGACAAAUUAAAUGGAUUGUAAACUCUUUUAUGAGUAGUGCAACCAUAAUCUUCCCUUUUGAUAGCACUGUCAGAACUGUUGGAAAGAAUGAUACAUUUGUGGAAAGCAUGUGGCUAUGCUUAAGUGUAUGACCAAAAUAUUUAUCAUUUAAUGUUGAUCAUGUGAUGUAAUGGUUUGUAAUGCUUUUGAUGCCAGUAUAAGCACAUACUUAAUAUACUAUGGGAUUUUGUGCUGAAAGUGACAUGUCAAAAUAAAAGUGACUUUGCCAACUGUUAAUACAUCCUGUUUAUAAUUGUGCAGGUAGCGGAAUAGUUUUUUUUUUUUAAUUAAUACAUUUUAAGGCAUGUUUGGUGUGUUUUGGAUUUUAUGUAACCAAAUUUCAUAGAGCCAAACUCUAUUGUCAUUGUAGUGGUACAAUGAGAUUUAACUUUCUUUGUGCAAUCAUAUGGUCAUAAAAAAAA